rnacentral:rRNA from 1 species
UUACAUCAGCAGUCAUCUCCAUGAUGGAGUGUGGAUGGCCUCACUUCUGCCAGAGGCCCACUUGGACAUCCUCCAAAACCUAGUGGCUAAUACACGCAAGCCCCAGUCUGCCACAACAUCUCGUGUGGCCAGCAAUCCAUGGCUAGCCUCACCGGCGGUGGAUGGCGCCCAGCUGCUGCGAAGACCAGCGCCUGGGAAGGGCAGCGCGUUGAUGGCUGACUCAGGCUGGUCCCCCCGGGGACGACUGCGCUGGCGGAGUGGUGGCUCUCAGCCACAGCACUGCUUGAUCAUAUGAACUUCUGACCUAUCAGCUUGGACUGUGGUGCAGUGGACCACAGUGGCCUUGACAGGUAACGGAGAAUCAGGGUUUGAUUCCGGAGAGGGAGCCUGAGAGACGGCUGCCACUACCAAGGUGGGCAGCAGGCGCGCAAAUUGCCCAAUGCUGAGACGUGUUGGCGAGGCAGCAACGAACCGUAGCAAUCCCGCCUGUCCUUGUGAUCGGCGGGACUUGGAAUGGAUGCUAUCCAAACCCAGUGAUGAGUAUCAACUGGAGGGCAAGUCUGGUGCCAGCAGCUGCGGUAAUUCCAGCUCCAAGGGCGUAUACUGACAUUGCUGCUGUUAAAACACUUGUAGUCGGAUGCAGGGCUACAGGUCUGCUGGGUGGCCAUGGUGGUCCACUGCCCUUCACCCUCACUGCCCCACCUCGAGUGGGGACAAACCCCACCCGCUUGUGUGUGGGCGGGAGGCCGUGACUGGACAGUGGGUGCCCCUGGAACACAACCCCCAGCGGUAUGCUCCUGUGCCCAUGUGUGCUACACACCAAUGACGGUGCGAACUGCUCUUGCUCGAAGCCCCCUUCAGUGGAGGCUGAGGCGGUGUAUACACCCAAUGCUUGUGUGAGGCCAAUCACCAGGGCUGGGGCGCCUCGUCCCCGCGUCCCCUGAGUGGACCUCUGCCUGGGGCCCACCACCAGAGCCCACCGUUGCAGCCACCGUGGAAAACUCAGUGUGCCCAACGCAUCCGUUAUGGCUGGAUGCCUGUCCAUGGAAUGGCAAAGCAUCGACCAGAUGUGGCCCUCAGACGUUGUGCUGGCCUUGGUGCCCAAUCUCGGGAACUUGGUGCCCGUCGCGCCUCAGCCCAGUGUGGCACACCACCCUCCACAGUGGUGUGGGUCCUGGGCUUUGGAGUGGACUGGCACCCUCCGUCCCUGAGGGGACUGCUUGGGGUGAAAGAUACUGCAGCGCCAGAGGUGAAAUUCUUAGACCGCUGCAUGAUCAACUGCAGCGAAGGCGUUCUGCACCUGCAUGUUNGUCGAUCAAGAAUGAGAGUGUGGGGAGCGAAGAUGAUCAGACACCGUCGUAGUCCACCACUGUAAACCAUGCCGGCUCAGUGCUGAGGGGGCACUUCUGACCUCCCCUCCCAGCGCUACACCCCCUGCAACGAGAAAUCCCAAGCCUGUGGGUUCAGGGGGGAGUACUGCUGCAAGGCUGAAACUUGAAGGAAUUGACGGAAUGGCACCACAAGGCGUGGAGUAUGCGGCUUAAUUUGACUCAACGCGGGGAACGUUACCAGGUCAGGACACAGCUGGGAUGGACAGACUGAGAGCUCUUUCUUGAUCCUGUGGAUGGUGGUGCAUGGCCGCUCCUGAUUGGUGGAGUGAUUUGUCUGGUUGAUUCCGAUAACGAGUGAGACCUCUGCCUCCCAAUAAGCCCCAGCCUCGCAUCUGUAGGGCGGCCUCAGCGUUGCCCACCAGCGUUGCGGGGGGUCUCCCCCCGCAAUCUGGCCGCGGGUGGCCUCUGGCCGCCUGAGAGCCCUGGGAUCAGCUUCUCUGAGGUGCUGUGUACGCUGCCAAGUGCACGCAUGCUAGAGCCAACAGCAGGUCUGUGAUGCUCCCAGAUGUCCUGGGCCGCACGCGCACUACAUUGACACAGUGACUGUGCUCUCUCUUGCUUCGGCGAGGCCUGUCCAGAAGUGGAUGGGAAACCCUGUGAGCCUGUGCUGUACUGGGGAUAGAUGAUUGCAACUGUCUGCCUUGAACGAGGAAUGCCUAGUAAGCAUGGGUCAUCA